rnacentral:rRNA from 1 species
UACGUAGGGUGCGAGCGUUAAUCGGAAUUACUGGGCGUAAAGCGUGCGCAGGCGGUUCGUUGUGUCGGUGGUGAAAGCCCCGGGCUUAACCUGGGAAUGGCCAUGGAAACUGGCGAACUGGAGUGUGGCAGAGGGGGGUGGAAUUCCACGUGUAGCAGUGAAAUGCGCAGAUAUCAGGAGGAACACCGGUGGCGAAGGCGGGAUCUCGUGGGCCGGAAGCUGACUGACGCUGGAGGAGCGAAAGCGUGGGGAGGCGAACAGGA